AAGGAAAACAAUAAUAACUUUCUUAAAAAUAAAAAUGGAAAGAAUUAAAUUAAUAUAAUGGUAUAACUGUGCGAUAAUUGUAACACAAACGAGUGAAACAAGUACGUAAGUAUGGCAUAAUGAACAAAUAACACUGAUUGUAAAGGUUAUUGAUAACGAAUAAAAGUUACGCUAGGGAUAACAGGGUAAUAUAACGAAAGAGUAGAUAUUGUAAGUUAUGUUUGCCACCUCGAUGUCGACUCAUCAUUUCCUCUUGGUUGUAAAAGCUAAGAAGGGUUUGACUGUUCGUCAAUUAAAAUGUUACGUGAGUUGGGUUAAAUACGAUGUGAAUCAGUAUGGUUCCUAUCUGCUGAAGGAAAUAUUAUCAAAUUAAAUCUCAUUAUUAGUAUCGUCAAGAACCAUAAUGAAUCAACCCAUGGUGUAUCUAUUGAUAAUAAUAUAAUAUAUUUAAUAAAAAUAAUACUUUAUUAAUAUAUUAUCUAUAUUAGCUUAUAUUUUAAUUAUAUAUUAUCAUAGCAGCUAAGCUAAGCUGAUAAUAAAUAAAUAUUGAAUACAUAUUAAAUAUGAAGCUGUUUUAAUAAGUUAAUUAAUCUGAUAAUUUUAUACUAAAAUUAAUAAUUAUAGGUUUUAUAUAUUAUU
rnacentral:rRNA from 1 species